GCCCCGAUAGCUCAGUCGGUAGAGCAGGGGACUGAAAAUCCCCGUGUCGGUGGUUCGAUUCCGCCUCUGGGCACCA
rnacentral:tRNA from 1 species